rnacentral:rRNA from 1 species
AUUGAACGCUGGCGGCAGGCCUAACACAUGCAAGUAGAGCGGAGCGGCGGACGGGUGAGUAAUGCCUAGGACUCUGACUGGUAGUGGGGGCUAACGUACGGAAACGGGCGCUAAUACAGCCAACUAUCAGAUGAGCAUAGGUCGGCUUGGCUAGUUGGUGGGGUAAAGGCCUACCAAGGGGACGAUCCGUAACUGGUCUGAGAGGAUGAUCAGUCACACUGGAACUGAGACACGGUCCAGCCUCCUACGGGAGGCAGCAGUGGGGAAUAUUGUACAAUGUGCGAAAGCCUGAUCCAGCCAUGCCGCGUGGGUGAAGAAGGUCUUCGGAUUGUAAAGCACUUUCAGUUGGGAGGCGUUACCCGCAGAAGAAGCACCGGCUAACUCCGUGCCAGCAGCCGCGGUAAGAC